rnacentral:lncRNA from 1 species
GGUGGGUCCUGUACAGGAAAGCUCAGUUUGGUGCCCUCAGCUGACACCGUCCCGGGGCCUGUCCCUGGGGAGCUUGGCAGCUGAGCAGGCCCCUCUCAGAACGUGGGACCUCUCCUAUGGAUGGAAGGUGACUGGACCUUGCACACCCAGCUGAGGUAAGAGGGAGGGUCCUGGGGGCAGGAUCUGGAGGAGGCUGGGUGGAGCAUUCCUGGUGCUGGCUUGCCUCCAUCCCUGGGUCUUAAAUGAUCUGGCCCAGAUUCUGUCCUGUUGCAGGGGGGAGGCCUGGGGCUUGGAAGCUGUUUUCUAGGUCUCCACGGGGGCUGCCAUGGGGGCCUCUGUCAACCUCUGGGGCUUCUCAGGAGCCGCUGGUCCCACUGAGCCUAACUUUUCUCAUCUGUAGGAUGGAUGUCACCUGUGUUCACCUCACAGCUGCUGUGCGGGGUGAGGGGGCGGGGGAGAGACACUGGUCGCAUUGAUGCAGCCCUUGCAGUUUGACUGGUCCUUCCAGACCAGUCUGACAGCUUCCUGGUUCCCCAGAAACUGGCCAAGCUGCAUUCCAGGACCUGGCGCUAGGGCGGAGGUCUCCGAGGGGGCAGUAGGGCUGCCCUGUCCUGGGAAGGUAGGAGGCGGGGAGCAGAUGCCCAGGAAUGCUCAUCCCACCCUUGGGGACUUACUCAUCCCCAUUUCACGGAGGAGAAGACUGAGACUUAGAGCUGCUGCCCAGGGUCACUUUUGGGUCACUUUAGGCCCCUGCUUUGGCCUAUACCCCCACAUCAGGCCUUCCUGAGGGCGCAGGCCAGAGGGGCAGCAGAGGGUGGGUAGGUGGAGCCCUUCCCCAAGGAGGUCCUGCCGCGUGCCUCCUCCUUCCGACAGAUGGGCCGCCCAGGGCCCCCAGGGGAGAAGGUCUCUGGCAUCCAGCUGUCUGGUUUCCCCAACGUCCCUGGAGAUGUCCCUGGUGAUGUCAUCCCCGGCCCUGAAGACUCGGACCUGGUGCCCUCCGUGACCCUGGCUGCAGCCCUUGCCCUGCUGUUCCUCCUGCUCUCAGGCUGGCUGGUGUGGGACGAGCUGCUGCUAGUGUGGGCUCCAGGGGGCCACACCGCUCAAGCUGGUGAGCAGCACCUCUCCAGUGCUCCAUGUCCCCUCCUCUCCCCUCCGUGGCAGCCCCGGGAGGCAGAUGCUGCCGUGAAACCACGGUGCCCUUGAGAAACCUGGCACGAGGGGCUUCCUGUCUGCCCACAGCCCUGAAGGUCAUGGGUUACCAGCAUUGAGAAGCCACUACGACCUUUGCCUUCCCUAAAUCCAGAGUCAUUUGGCCGAGAAGCUCUUCCCUGAGUCCUUGUCGGAGCAUUUGUCUUCAAAGGGAGGAGGAGAAUCUGUGAGUUUGUGUUCAAACGUCGGCCAGGCCACAGACUUUGGGAAAGUUCCAAACCUUCGCUGUGCCUCUGGGUUCCCGUGGGUUCCGCGGGCUCAUUCCUGUGGCCGCCUCCCAGGGGCAUGGGAUCUGUCUUGGGGACUUAGUGGAGGGUCCUGACCUGGAGACUCAGGCUGAACAGCCGGAGUGGGUGUGUGUCACCUUGGCUGCUGCCGCCGCCGGCCCUGACCACAGGUUCCUCCCGGUGCCUCUGCUCACUCCGAGGGGAGGCAUCCUCCAUGCGCUCCUGUGUGGGCUCCUCCUGAAAUGUACGCAGAAUGAGGGCAGGAAUGCUGCCCGUCUCAUUUGCUACUGUCUGUGUGGUAUGGUUUGUAUCUGUCUGUGUGAUAUGGUUUAAAUCUCACCUUGAAUUGUAAUCCCUGUGUGUCCAGGAGGGAAAAUGUGGCCUGUGGGGGUGGUUUUCCCCAUGUUGUUCUCCUGACAGUGGGUGAGUCUCAUGAGAUUGGAUGGUUUUUAAAGUGGCAGUUUUUCCUUUGCUCAUGCUCACUCUCUGUCCUGCCGCCCUGUGACGAAGGUGCCUGCUUUCCCUUCCACCAUGAUUGUAAGUUUCCUGAGGCCUUCCCAGCCCUGCCGAACUGUGAGUCAAUUCAAUUCAACCUUCUUUGUUUAUAAAUUGCCCAGUCUCAGGUAGUAUCUUUAUAGCAGUGUGAGAACAGACUAAUACAAUGUGCAGGGCUGAAGCAGCUCAAUAAAUAGUUGAUGGAUGGACGGAUGGAUGGAUGGAUGAAUGAAUGAAUGAAUUCACUAAUUACUGAUUCACUUGUUGAGUGUGGUAGAGCAUCAGAUCACAGACCUUAGAUCCUGGCUUCCAAGGCUUGAAUCUGUGAUGGGCUGGCUCCAUAAUUUUAAGUGAUUUAUGUAAUGGUCCCAUACCUCAGUUUCCUCAUCUGUAAAAUAAAGGCCAAUGAUUUCUGUUCUUAUCAGUACGGCCAGUUAAGAACCUAUACAAACCCUCCCACUAACAGCGGCUAGAAAUUCUGGAUAGAAUAAAAAAUGCCUGUCUUGUUCAUUAUUGUCUUGAGCUGACUAGGAAGUGUGGAGUACUCAGGCCAGGAUGGAGAAGAGAUGGGACCCAUAGAGGAAGGUGGAUACUGAAGCUGGCUUUGCUGGGACAUAUGGAAAGAAGUGGCCACCGCUCCAUCUCUGAAACAAAAAGCGGAACUUAUUGUUUGUUAAGCAAGGGAGAUCUAAACCUGUAAGGCUCAGACUCCUUGGACGAAGCAAAUUCCUGGCUUUGCAUAGAGUUUCAGGAAGAGUGGGGUUCAGGCACAGGAAGCUUUCAGACGUGGGAGAGCUUAGGGGUUGGCUGAUCUUUAACUGAGGGAGACUAGUUUUUGGAGAGGGGCUAUUGCUGGUGGGUUGAACAAAGAAAGUGGUCACUACUAGAUUGAGAUGGACUCAGUGCUGGUGUUUGACUCAGUUUGCUUGUUGCUGUGGCCAGAGAACAGCCUGUCUUCUUUUUGACGUUGGAGGAUUGAAAACUUUUUAUUUUCAUAGGCAAACCUGAGCCUCGUUUUUUGACUACCUUUGUGGCUAGAGGUCAGAAGACAAAGCACAGAGCCUGACCAUGCAGGAGAGUCUAGCAGAAGACCCUUCCUUCAAUGUGGGACACCAUGAGCUAUACCUCACUGUCAUGGAAAACAAAAAGAUCGAUUUCCCCAUUGGAUACUACAUCAACACUGCCUGUAGCGAACUUUGGUGCCAAGUGGAAGAGGAAAAGCAUUCUCUAAGAAUUAAUAGCUAUAACCUGACCUUCAUGUGUGUAUGUAGCCUGAAUCCAUAUUUCCUCAAUUAUCCAAAAUAAAGGAUUUUAGUUUAAAGGAGUCUCAUAUUGGAAGUACCUCAGUUGUUUGACAGAAGUAAAUACAAUUACUUUCUAAAGGACUCUGCCUUUACCUCAGGCCUCAGAAAAUUUCCAUAAAUUUCCACAGAAAACAAGCAGUUCAAAGUAAAAAAAAAAAAAAAAAUCACUAAAUAUACAAGGAAGCAAAACACCAUGAGUGAAAGUCAACAGAAACAAUAGGCAGUAGAAUCAGAUCAGCCAAAUAUUUAGAUACUAAAAAUAUCAGGACUGGAAAAUAAGUAUGUUUUAUGGAAGAAAUAAAAGAGGCUUGACUAUAUCAAUGAAGAACAAGUACCAAACCUACUCUUAGAAAUAAAAACAUGACAAUCAAAAUGCUAAACUCAAAAGAUAGUUUAACCACAGUUUAGACACAACCAAAGAAGGAAUUGAUGAACUGAAGGAUAAGACAAAAUAAAUUAAGAAAAUUGCACUCUUGAAAGGUUAAGAACUAGGAAAUCUAAAGAACAUGAGAACUAGAAUGCAAGUGUAAGCAUAUUGCAAGUGGAGUUCAAGAAAAUGAGAGAUAGAAUAGGGGUAGGGGCAAUAUUUGAAGAGGAUUAUGGCUGAAACUAUUUCAGAUAUUUAAGAAAGCCCAAUGACUCUCAAGCAAGCCAAAGAAAAAGGAUUCCACACCAGUCACAUCAGAAUAAAAAUGCAGAACACUGAAGAUCAAAAGAAGUCUUAUAAAAGAGCCCAGGAGAAAAUGUAGAUUAUCUUCAAAGAUAGUUAUGCCAAGAGCUUGCUCUUUAGGAGCAACAGUGGGAGUUAGGAAAUAGAGAAGUGAUAUCUUACAAAUGCUCAGAGCAAAUGAUUUCCAACCUAGAAUUCAAUAUCCAGUGAAAAAAUUAAAGAUGCAAAUGGUUGUCAACCUAGAAUUCAAUAUCCGGUGGAAAAUAUAGAGAUACAAAGGAUUACCGAAACUAGAAUUCAAUAUCCAGUGAAAAAAAUAAAGACACAAAGGAUUACCAACAUAGAAUUCAAUAUCCAGUGAAAAAUGUAAAGACAAUCAUAGGCAAAUAAAAAUAAAAAAGAUGCACCACAA